AAUAUUGGGUUCCACGCGGCAAAACAUUUCCUGCUGUUGACCACCAACUGCUCCCCCCACAAUCCUCGCCGCGGCGGGAAGGAAGCAUGCCGGGAGGCAAGGGGAAAGACGAACCGGACCGGGAAACGGAGCUGAGUGCUAGAAGUGGAGAUGGGUGAAACUUCGCUAAGGAAUUCACACCUUCAGGCUGUUCUUGGGGCUGGAAUUGCUGCCAGAUUCAUCUUGUUCAGCGGAUGAGCGGAGGAACAAGAAGUGGAGAUGGAUGAAAAAACUCGAGGAGGAAUUCAGAACUCGAGGCUCGAAUUGUUGCUGGAUCCAUCUUCAGUGGAAGAAGAAGAAGUGGAGAUGGGUGCAACUCUGAUGAGAAAGAGCUUCACUGUUCUUGGUGCUGGAACUGCUGGGUCCAUCGUUUUCAGGUAUUUCUGCCAUGAGACCACUCUUCCCCCAAAUUCGAUUGCGUUGCCCUUUUUUUUUUUCCUGGGGCCGGAGUUGUUGGGAAUCCAUCUUAUCUUCUGCUUGAUUGGUUGUGCUGAAUCUUGUUCUGUCUUGCGUAUUCGUUGGCCAAUUGAUUCCUUCUGUUUCGUCGGGAGCCUCACACUUUUCAGAGGGAAACCGAUUGGCAUCGCAAUGACUACAUUACCUCACGGUUAUGCCAGCCGUCGGUUUUUUCGUCUGAUGUGCAGGAGAGCCGCACUGUUAGAGAAAACGGAGCCGGGGCUCUUGUGCUGCCCGAGCUCUGAACUAACCAUCCAUGGCCGUGCUCUCGCGGAGAAGUGUAGCACAGGAGAACUGCAUGGCACGGCUCUCAUUGUCUGGCACCGCUUGUAUAGGCGCCUGAUCAGAUCAAGGGCAUCUCCUCCAGUGCCUGACUUGACCUGCUCUUGCAUCCUGUGUCCAGCUUGCACUCCAGACUAGUGACUAGACUGGAGCUUGUGAUUGCAGCUAGUGUCCUGCAAUGCUAUCUGUGCGGAUGGAUUCCUUGACGUGAAUCCGCAGAAACUUGUGACAGCCCCAAGUUUCUCGGUAGAAAAUGAUCAGCCUGGCCGGCUGACCUUCGUUGCUUCUCGGAUUCUGCUCUGAAACCGACUCCAAUCAAGUGGUAUCUAUCUCUGGCUUAUGUAGUACACUCCAUCUAGGGACCACAUUCCUUGAGCAAACACGCGCCCGAGUAGGACUCAAUGACUCAUGCACUCCGUUCGGCAGCCAGCUCCAGCCCAAUAGUAUUUUCUUCUCACACUACUCCAGCUCCAGCCAGCCCAACAGUAUUUUUCUUUCACACCAUUCCAGCUCCAGCCUCCAGCUCCAGCCUCCAGCUCCAGCCUGCUAUGCCUGGGGAGUGCCUGUGUCCAGUGGACAGGCGAAACUUAUCCAGUGGACAGGCGAAACUUAUCCAGCUAUAGCUUUUUCGUUAGAUUUUUUCCAUAAUGUUGUGUUUCCUAUAUGUUAAUGCUUGGAGACAAUAAUGAGAGUUCAAAGUCCAUUUCGAAAAAAUAAUGAUCAAAGUCACGCCUAGAUAACAUCCAUACUGUCAAAUGAAAAGUAACGGAGAGGUGCUUAUGAUGCAAUAGUCUCUUUGUGUUUAAAGUGUUAAAGAUUUAUUCAACUUCAUGUUGUUGGUUUUAAAUAGGAAAAAAAUCCAACUUACUGUCAAGUUUGCAUAAUAUACCAUGAACUAUAAAACUGUAUAUUUAACCUCCUUUUUUCCCCCAAAAAAAGGUGGUGAUUUUCACCUUUUGCUUUAAAUCAAAUCCGUUUUGAUGACGUGGUGUGGGAUCUGGGCGGUCUAGAUGACAUGGGUAGGUGAGCUCAUGCGACACCAGCAAGCAGAGAGAGAAAUGAGAGAGAUUUAUGGGUUAAAACCAUAUAGGUGGCGUAGCAAGCGCUGGAACUGUAACCCCGUUAUGUCCUCAACCAUCCAGAUCCAACGCCAUGCCGUCAAAACUACCUUGUACUCAUGGAAAACUCGGGCGCAUAAUUUGGACUCAUGGCAGACUUAGGAGCAUAAUUUGGACUCGUGGUAAACUUGGGAGCAUAAUUCAUUAAUUUGGACCUUUUUUCUUUUUGAAUGACCCAUACUGCAUUAUAGUCCUUGGAUGUAUACCAGAGUUGAGUUCAUAUAUUUGAGACAUAUGCUACCUGGACAAAAUAAUGGACAAGAGUGCUUAGUGGCAGUGCAUGUAUAACGGCAAUUAAGAAGUCAUCUAUAUACAGUUUAUCCCGUUUAUCAAGGUGAUUAAACGUGGAAACGGCUGGUGCUGUCAUCUCGCGAGAUGACGGCAUCGGCUCGUGCUCCAAGGGCAAAUCGACGCCUAGGAAGCCGAUGUACGCGCAGCUUCGACUCACCUACGGUGGCGAGGGAUCCGGUGUGCCGUGUGCGCACGAGCGUUUUGGUGCGGGAAAAUCCGUCGAAGGAGCCAGUUCCCCUGCGUGCGCCCGGAAUCCCCUCCGCCUGCCAUUUCUGCUGUGGAGUCCCCUCCUCCGCGCCCCCUCUGCCCUAGCCAACCUCGGGAACGGCUUCACCUUGUCGCCGCUCCCCCAUCGGAACCCCACCGCCGCCGCAUGUUGCCGCCUCCGAGCUUAGGCGCACGCCAGCAAGCACCUCCCCUGCUGCCCCGACCCCAACCAAACCCCUUCCCAGAUAGCUCGCGACCUCCUCUAGCUUUUCCCCCACCUUGCCCUCGCAACCGAUGAGCAAGUUCGCCGGAUUUUGGCCGGCCAAAGUUUUCCCACCGUAUGCCAUGGUGGGAGGACCAUACUGCGUUGGUUUCAAAUUGUCUAGGGUGAUUUCUGUAAGAAACCAAGGACCUAUUCGUAAAAUUCUAGUUCAAGUUUUUAAAUCCAAGUAGGGAACUUGUAAAUUCAUUUACAAAUUGUAGAAAAAUCGGAAAAAUACAAACUCGACUGUUUUGAGUUCCUAGCAACUAGAUCUACAACUUUUGUUACAUGCACAUCUUUAGUUUCUCAAUACCUUUUUGCUCUAUUUAAAAUGCAAGUUUCAUCUCUUAAAAUAUUCAUGUGAUUUAUUUGCAUCCACAAAUGAUUCUUUCAUUUAUGCCACAAAACAAUACGCAAAUAUCCAUUUCACAUGUUUGAUUAUCACGUUUCAUUUGCCUAGGCAUAUAUAAAAUAGCUUUCAAGUAGCCACACAGACACACCAUUGUACAAGUUGUCUGCUCUGUCGUCUGCGUGCAAUAUUCUAGACACAUACAGACGACAGCCGUCUAACCAUUGUACAUGCCGUUAUGUUGGUGUCCAUUCAUUUCCCAUCACUUUACUUUCACUCUCUUUACUCCCAACUCGAAACUACAAGUAGCAACUUGGGCGAGCCGGACUCACUCCUCUCCCUUGUCUCUCUAUCUCUACUCCCCAAUGUCAUCUCUAUGCACCCCUCAUGUGGCUGCUUCUAGCAACCAAAUCUAGUCUAGAAAUGGCAUACCAAGCCAAAUCUCUCAAUGGAAUAUUUAAGGGUUUGCUAGAUCUAAAGUGACUCAAAUUUCAUAGCACCCAAUGAAAGAAUAAGUUUACACAAUAGAUGCAGAAUGGAGAUUGGUCUGAUUUGUUGAAUUCCAAAACCCCGAAGUUGUAGUAGUUGACAUACAUAUCCAAAUAACCCUUGUUUCAAUUAAUUACUGCUGCUCUGUCCCAUCACUUAUGCGGCAUCACUUUCACUUCACACAUGUGGUUGAUUUGCAAAGUGCAUGUGGAAGUAAAUGAGCUAGAUGAAACCCCACCCAUCACCUCAUACUUGGAAAAGAAAAAAAGUAACCCCGGCCCUAAACCACAACAUGUCAACUAAGAAAACACCAGGAAGCUAUACAUCACGGGGAACACGCUGGAAAUUAAAUCAGCAACUUAAUUAAUUAGUUGGCAUGUAUUGUAUACUAUACUCCAUUAACCUUUGUUUAACAUUUAACAAGGGUUUCUUUAUUUGGCAAAUAACUUUUUUUGGUUAAGAGCACAUGCAUGUCCACAUUUUCAUACAGAUUCCAGAUGCAUUUAACGAAGUUAUUCGGGAUAGGAUCGGAGUGGCACCAAUUGAGGAGAAACUUACCCAACAUCGGCUGAGAUGGUUUGGACAUGUCCAACGAAGGCCUCCUGAGGCGCCGGUGCGUAACGGGGUUCUUGAACGGGUCGAUAAUGUAAAGAGAGGUAGAGGUAGACCUAAACUGACGUGGGAUGAGUCGGUUAAAAGAGACCUUAAGGAUUGGAAUAUCUCUAAAGAAAUAGCUUUGAAUAGGAGCGCUUGGAGACUAGCUAUCAAUGUGCCUGAACCUUGAACUUAUUUCUUUCGGGUUUCAUCUCUAGCCUACCCCAACUUGUUUGGGAAAAAAAGCUAUGUUGUUGUUGUUGUGGAGUAUUUGCAAACUGCAUGUACAUGCAUGUGCUCUUAACCAAAAAAAAAAAAUGCGAGGAAGCUAUCAACGGUGACAUGUGGAAUCUGGAAUAUUUGGAUCGACCAACGACCACACCAUGACUAUGCUUAGACCUUGAAUGCAUGUAACAAGCUGCACUGUCACCCUCCCUCCACAAGCCACAAAUGAAAUAAAUUAGCAAAUUAAAUUAACCUGCCGAUCAGAUGACAUCAAACUAUCUUUUUUUCUUAAUUACACAAGGCACGUUGUACUACGCAAAUCGUAGUAGCUGCACGAGCAACUCGCUGAAGAAUAGAAGCUUCUCGGCUCUCGCUCCCUGUCGCCAGAAGCGUGUGAGCGUGUCCACAAGCAAGAAAAGAGAGAGGGCGCGGUAGAAGAUUAUGCAGUCAAGGAGCAGUCUCUACUCGUCUUUUCCUCAACGCACGCAUGCUAUUCUCGCAAACGGAGUCAUGGUCUCGCCACCGUGUGGCAGCAUCUGACGUGUUUACUCGUCGUUGGCUCGUUCCAGUUCACAUUUGUGAGAUUGCGGCCGUGGACGUGGAAAAGGCCGUGGAGGAGGCUCUGAUGCAGGAAGUGGAGAGGAACCAGCCGCAGCCGCAGCCCGUGGAGGCCGGCAGUGGCGGCCCAGGCCUUCCGGGAACCAGCGCCGGC